UACAGAGGUCCCAAGCGUUGCUCGGAAUCACUGGGCGUAAAGGGCGCGUAGGCGGGAUGGCAAGUCGGUCGUGAAAUCCUUCGGCUCAACCGAAGAACGUCGGCCGAUACUGCCGUUCUUGAGGGAUGCAGAGGAGAUUGGAAUUCCCGGUGUAGCGGUGAAAUGUGUAGAGAUCGGGAGGAACACCGGUGGCGAAGGCGGGUCUCUGGGCAUUAACUGACGCUGAGGAGCGAAAGCAUGGGGAGCGAACAGG
rnacentral:rRNA from 1 species